rnacentral:rRNA from 1 species
GACGAACGCUGGCGGCGUGCUUAACACAUGCAAGUCGAACGUGAUUUUUGUGGAAAUUCUUUCGGGAAUGGAAAUGAAAUGAAAGUGGCGAACGGGUGAGUAACACGUGAGCAACCUACCUUACACAGGGGGAUAGCCGUUGGAAACGACGAUUAAUACCGCAUGAGACCACAGAAUCGCAUGAUAUAGGGGUCAAAGAUUUAUCGGUGUAAGAAGGGCUCGCGUCUGAUUAGCUAGUUGGAAGGGUAAAGGCCUACCAAGGCGACGAUCAGUAGCCGGUCUGAGAGGAUGAACGGCCACAUUGGAACUGAGACACGGUCCAAACUCCUACGGGAGGCAGCAGUGGGGAAUAUUGCACAAUGGGGGGAACCCUGAUGCAGCGACGCCGCGUGAGCGAAGAAGGUUUUCGAAUCGUAAAGCUCUGUCCUAUGAGAAGAUAAUGACGGUAUCAUAGGAGGAAGCCCCGGCUAAAUACGUGCCAGCAGCCGCGGUAAUACGUAUGGGGCGAGCGUUGUCCGGAAUUAUUGGGCGUAAAGGGUACGUAGGCGGUUUUUUAAGUCAGGUGUGAAAGCGUGAGGCUUAACCUCAUUAAGCACUUGAAACUGGAAGGCUUGAGUGAAGGAGAGGAAAGUGGAAUUCCUAGUGUAGCGGUGAAAUGCGUAGAUAUUAGGAGGAAUACCGGUGGCGAAGGCGACUUUCUGGACUUUUACUGACGCUCAGGUACGAAAGCGUGGGGAGCAAACAGG